GAUGAACGCUGGCGGCGUGCCUAAUACAUGCAAGUCGAGCGAACAGACGAGGAGCUUGCUCCUCUGACGUUAGCGGCGGACGGGUGAGUAACACGUGGAUAACCUACCUAUAAGACUGGGAUAACUUCGGGAAACCGGAGCUAAUACCGGAUAAUAUAUUGAACCGCAUGGUUCAAUAGUGAAAGACGGUUUUGCUGUCACUUAUAGAUGGAUCCGCGCCGCAUUAGCUAGUUGGUAAGGUAACGGCUUACCAAGGCAACGAUGCGUAGCCGACCUGAGAGGGUGAUCGCCCACACUGGAACUGAGACACGGUCCAGACUCCUACGGGAGGCAGCAGUAGGGAAUCUUCCGCAGUGGGCGAAAGCCUGACGGAGCAACGCCGCGUGAGUGAUGAAGGUCUUCGGAUCGUAAAACUCUGUUAUUAGGGAAGAACAAAUGUGUAAGUAACUAUGCACGUCUUGACGGUACCUAAUCAGAAAGCCACGGCUAACUACGU
rnacentral:rRNA from 1 species